rfam:Lysinibacillus xylanilyticus strain DSM 23493 Scaffold1, whole genome shotgun sequence.
ACGGGAGAGGUUCAUAGCUAAUACCCUCUAUAAAAAACUAUGGAAAC